AUUGAACGCUGGCGGCAGGCCUAACACAUGCAAGUCGAGCGAGCGGCGGACGGGUGAGUAAUGUCUGGGAAACUGCCUGAUGGAGGGGGAUAACUACUGGAAACGGUAGCUAAUACCGCAUACCAUCAGAUGUGCCCAGAUGGGAUUAGCUGGUAGGUGGGGUAAUGGCUCACCUAGGCGACGAUCCCUAGCUGGUCUGAGAGGAUGACCAGCCACACGGGAACUGAGACACGGUCCAGAUUCCUACGGGAGGCAGCAGUGGGGAAUAUUGCACAAUGGGCGCAAGCCUGAUGCAGCCAUGCCGCGUGUGUGAAGAAGGCCUUCGGGUUGUAAAGUACUUUCAGCGAGGAGGCGGUACUCGCAGAAGAAGCACCGGCUAACUCCGUGCCAGCAGCCGCGGUAAUAC
rnacentral:rRNA from 1 species